rnacentral:rRNA from 1 species
UACAGAGGUCCCAAGCGUUGUUCGGAUUCACUGGGCGUAAAGGGUGCGUAGGCGGUCGGGUAAGUCUGAUGUGAAAUCUCACAGCUUAACUGUGAAACUGCAUUGGAUACUAUCCGGCUAGAGGAAUGGAGGGGAGACUGGAAUACUUGGUGUAGCAGUGAAAUGCGUAGAUAUCAGGAGGAACACCAGUGGCGAAAGCGGCUUCCUGGUCCGACACCGACGUUCAGGCACGAAAGCGUGGGGAGCAAACAGG